rnacentral:rRNA from 1 species
UACGGGGGGGGCAAGCGUUGUUCGGAAUUACUGGGCGUAAAGGGCUCGUAGGCGGCCAACUAAGUCGGAUGUGAAAUCCCCAAGCUUAACUUGGGAACUGCAUCCGAUACUGGAUGGCUUGAAUCCGGGAGAGGGAUGCAGAAUUCCAGGUGUAGCGGUGAAAUGCGUAGAUAUCUGGAGGAAUACCGGUGGCGAAGGCGGCAUCCUGGGCCAGAUCCGACACUGAGGCGCGAAAGCUAGGGGAGCAAACGGG